GGGGACUGCGUUCGCGCUCUCCCCUG
rnacentral:piRNA from 5 species